GAUCCUGGCUCAGGAUGAACGCUGGCGGCGUGCCUAACACAUGCAAGUCGAACGAAGCACCUGUUCACGAGUCCCUUCGGGGGUGACGAACUUGUGACUUAGUGGCGGACGGGUGAGUAACGCGUGGGAAACCUGCCCUGUACAGUGGGAUAACAGUUAGAAAUGACUGCUAAUACCGCAUAAGCGCACGGUACCGCAUGGUACAGUGUGAAAAACUCCGGUGGUACAGGAUGGUCCCGCGUCUGAUUAGCUUGUUGGUGGGGUAACGGCCUACCAAGGCAACGAUCAGUAGCCGACUUGAGAGAGUGAUCGGCCACAUUGGGACUGAGACACGGCCCAAACUCCUACGGGAGGCAGCAGUGGGGAAUAUUGCACAAUGGGGGAAACCCUGAUGCAGCGACGCCGCGUGAGUGAAGAAGUAUUUCGGUAUGUAAAGCUCUAUCAGCAGGGAAGAUAAUGACAGUACCUGACUAAGAAGCUCCGGCUAAAUACGUG
rnacentral:rRNA from 1 species